GCUGGCGACCAUAGCAAGAGUGAACCACCUGAUCCCUUCCCGAACUCAGAAGUGAAACCUCUUAGCGCUGAUGGUAGUGUAGGAUUACCCAUGUGAGAGUAAGUCAUCGCCAGCU
rnacentral:rRNA from 1 species